AUGUACCCCAAGGAUUACAAAUUUGACAAGGAGCAUUUAGCUGAAAUUUGGGCGGCAGAAGGCUUUGUGGAGCCUCAAGGUGGUGUUCCCAUUCAAGAUGUUGGCUGUCAGUAUUUUGAAGACCUUGUAGCACGGUCCUUCUUUCAAAAAGUUGGCGGUCAACACGUAAUCCAUGACUUGCUGCAUGACAUGGCACAAAAAGUUUCAGAGGAUGACUGCUUCAUCUUAAGAAAUACGAGUGACUUUGCUAUAGUUCCCCAGAAUGUUCGUCAUCUGUACGUACUCCCUAGCAGUGAAUUUGACCAUUCCAACUUGCCGAGCCUAUGCAACUACACGAAGCUGCGUACCCUAAUCUGCAAAAAGAGUUUAGGAAGAAAAGCAGAUAUUGUAAUGGAACCCUGGUGUGAUAAACUUCUCCGUAUGCGUGUGAUGUCUUGUGCCUCCGCAGAUAAGUUACCAGAUAAUAUUGGCAACUGGAAGCAUCUUCGGUACCUUGAAAUAUCCAGAGCUUGUUCUUUGAAGAAGAUUCCUUCAACUUUCUGUUGGCUAUAUCAUAUGCAGAUUUUAUAUGCCAAGAAAUGCAAGCUAGAAAUUCCUGGUGACUUUGUGAAGUUGACCAGUUUGCAGAAAUUCGAAGCAAUAGGAUUAACUCUUGAUUCGGCCAAUAAAGAGGGACAAGGAAUUAGGUUAAUAAAGAAUCUGAACCAAAUUCGUGGAUACUUGGUGAUAAAUAAUCUUGCCGCCCUAAGUAAGGAUCAGGCAGCUGAAGCUGAACUGAAAAAUAAGAAAUAUCUUGAUAGGUUGACAUUGAAUAUGCAUUCGCCCUGGGGUUUUGGUAUGCUGCCAACCAUCCUAUCAGCCUCUUGUCAGGCUAAGAACAAAGAAGUGCUUGAAGUUCUACAACCUCCUAUCAGCCUCAAGUCUCUGCUCCUCCAGAAUUAUGGCGACUCCUCACUCCCAAGCUGGUUUCAGCCACAAAACUUGCCAAGUUUAGAAUCACUCACUUUUCAAGGAUGUGAUGGACUCAACAGCAUAAACUUAAAGGAGACACCCGCAUUCCUGUCUCUCGCAGACGUAAGAAUUGAAGGGUGCAAAAAUAUAUCAAGCCUCGAAGAUUUUCUGCAUCCAGGUUAUGUACCAGGCAUCAAGAAAAUGGUGAUUAUCAAUUGCAAGAUGUUAGAAUCAGUACCAACUGAAAAGUUUGGGGAUUUUGAUUUCCUUGAAGAAAUGUCCUUAUUCCGUUGUCCAAACAUCAGCCUUCAAAGAUUGGUUUCGCAGUCCCUUAAGAAGCUCGACAUGUGGGAUUCUGGUCUCUUUUGCAAUAUCGACUGCUGCUCCCUCACUGAAUUUGAUGUAUCAUGCAAGUCUAUCACAUCCAUCCAAUUGCAAACGUGGAGUCUUCCAGCACUACGAGAGCUGCGUAUUCAGUCUGAAUCUCUUGCAUCUAUUGGCGGCAUUGGAGCAUUCUCGUCCCUUAAAGUCAUAAAAUUUAGUGAGUGUCGUAAAUUGCCAACCCUUGAUGGCCUGCUAACACAAGAGCAUCUACCCGCUAUUGAGGAAAUUGAAAUCAGAUGUUGUUCGGAGUUAAAGUCCCUGCCAGCUGAAUGGUUUCCCUAUCUGAAACAUCUGGUGGUUGAUGAGUGCACAAGUCUCAAGUGGCAAACAGGUUUUGUGUUGCCAUCAUGCCUCCAAAGCCUACGCUUAAAGGAAUGUGGGGAUAUCUCUCCAUGUAUUCCCAGCUGCCUAGAGAACCUCACAUCCCUCGUCUCACUUCAAAUUGAAGGAUGCAAUGGAAUAAAAUCCAUUCCAGGCAACGUUUGGCACAAUUAUCUUGUAUCACUCGAGAAAUUGGUGAUUAAGAAAUGUCAACAUCUAGUUUCAAUUGGUGGAGCAGAGGUGGUUGCAAAUAUCAAGGAGGUGGAGGUCAGGGGGUGUCCAAAGUUAGAGGAAGCGGACCAGAUCAAUAGUACAAGGAGGACAAGAAGGACUAGGUGA
rnacentral:rRNA from 1 species